CUUACCAAACUUUCUUAGCAGUCCGUCUCUGCUAUUAUUCUUCCCCUUGAUUCAUCAUUCUUCUUUUGUCAGCUGUCUGCACUGUUGGUUGAAGAUUUCCAAAAUGCCUGAAGAGUGCACUGUCAGCUGCAGAUACCUGAGUCAACAUGAAACCUGUACUUUUUUUCUCAAGGUCAUAUAGCUCUGUAUCAGAUAGCAACAGAGCUUCAGCAAUAACAGCAGAUGCCAUCUUAGAUUAAUGAAACUCUUCAAAGCAGGCCAUCAAUCACUGAACAUGUGCAUGAAGAAAUGACCUUCAUGUCUGUUUCUCAUUCUAAAUAAUUUCUCUCUCCUUGUACAAAUUCUUCAAGGUAGUAUAAUUUUUUUCAGCUUGUUCCAACUUUUUUUGCUAUGAUAUUGUGAUUGGGU
rnacentral:lncRNA from 1 species